rnacentral:misc_RNA from 1 species
GAAAAAUGGGAAACCGGCGGAAUGCAAUGGUUGCGGUAAGCGAUGACGAGGAUGAUCACGUGCAGCUGUCAUCGCGGCCGACACGCGACGAAGAGAAAGCGAAUCAGAGGAAGAGGAAGAAAGUGAGGCUCGACGAAGAGGAAGAAGAAGAGGAGAAAGCGAAUACAGAGGAUGAAAGUAGAGAUAAGAGAAGGACGAAGAGGAAAGUACCGGAGAACGAGGAGGAGGAGGAAGAGGAGAGGUGAUGGUGGUUCGUGAUUGGUUGUGUUGUUCGUAUUGACUGAGAAAGGAGCGGGUUGAUUCUUUAAGUUGACUGACCUUUGUUUGAAGUGUAUGAGAAGAAAAGGAGAAAAAUUAAUUUGUAGAUUUUUGUAAUUGUGAGGCAGCUAAUGGUAAUUGUAAUUUUUGUAGAAUUUUAUUUUAUUAUUAUUAUUGU